UUGCAAACAUUUAUUUCUUGAUUUAACCCACCACCACUAUGACCACCGACAUCUAAUCACUAAAAAUUGGGUAAAUGACUAUCUUACUUGUUUUUAUCAAUCUUUCUUAGAUCUAUGUAUAUAGCUCACAUUUAUUUCAGUGUUUACUAUUAGAAGUGUUUUGGGUCUUUAUUUAGAAAUUUGGUGAUGCUUUUGUUUUCAUUUUGAGAUGGAGUCUUGCUCUGUCUCCUGAGCUGGAGUGCAGUGGCGCGAUCUCCACUCACUGCAGCCUCCACCUCCCAGGAGAAUCACUUGAACCCAGGAGGCAGAGGUUGCAGUGAGCCGAGAUCAUGCCAUUGCACUCCAGUCUCAUGCCAUUGCACUCCAGGGCGACAAGAGCGAAACUCUGUCUCAAAAAAAAAAAAAAUUGUUACGUUUUAAGAAGCACGAGUGUCAAUUAUCUAAGGGUAAAUUAGGUAUGAUUCAGAGGAUAACAG
rnacentral:sRNA from 1 species